rnacentral:rRNA from 1 species
GUAGGGAAUAUUGGACAAUGGGCGAAAGCCUGAUCCAGCCAUGCCGCGUGAUAGAUGAAGGCCCUCUGGGUUGUAAAUAUCUUUUAUCUGGGAAGAAACUCCUCUAUUCUUAGAGGCCUGACGGUACCAGAGGAAUAAGCACCGGCUAACUCCGUGCCAGCAGCCGCGGUAAUACGGAGGGUGCAAGCGUUAUCCGGAUUCACUGGGUUUAAAGGGUGCGUAGGCGGGUUGAUAAGUCAGUGGUGAAAGCUCCGGGCUUAACUUGGAAACUGCCAUUGAUACUGUCAGUCUUGAAUGUCGUAGAGGUAAGCGGAAUGUUGCAUGUAGCGAUGAAAUGCUUAGAUAUGUUACAGAACACCAAUUGCGAAGGCAGCUUACUAUGCGAUAAUUGACGCUGAGGCACGAAAGCGUGGGGAGCAAACAGGAUUAGAAACCCUUGUAGUCC